AUCACAGUGUUGUUUUUCAGUCCUUACUUUGUGACAUCAUUUUAUUGCAUAAACACUGCUUUAUCCUAUAGUUUGUAACAUAUAAUUUCAUUAAGACUAUUUUAAUUAUCCCUCUCCAUGUUUGGCAGACUGCUCUAGCUCUAAUAGGUGGUAAUAUGAAUGGUCUGGAAACAAUAUGAAAUAAAAAGCCUGUAUUAGGACUCAGUAUGUAUAAUGUUUUACUAGCUAUUGUGUGCUCACAAACACAAAAUUUUAUCACCAGGAAACGUUGGUUCUAAACUAUGACAGACUAUGAUAGAUACAAAACACACGUAAGCAUUUCCAAGGUAAUUAUAACUUCACAUUAACAAUAUUUAGAUGGGAUCAUGAGUUCUUUUUUAUAUGCUAAGAAUGGUAAGCCAUGUAAUUAGAAGUUGAAAAAAUAAGGUAGGAUGAGUUGCCAUUUUCCAUUUUAGAGAAACUUUAUAAAGAUCUUAUAAUGUUGGGAUAUCUUUGGAGGCAAGAAAUCAUCAAAAUCCUGGCUGCCAAAAGUAAGCUAUAGUGUUAACAAGGUUAAAGGUUAGAGUAAUAAAAAUGAAAAAAUAAAUGACUAUACGUAAUAUGUCAGGAAAAAUCAUCUGGACCAAUGUGAAUCCUCUAGAGAGGAAAAUAGGAAAAAAGGAAAGAUUAGUCACAAUUGUAAAUUAUGGUAAUCAAAUUUCUUUUCUCUCUCUCUGUCUUUUUUUUUUUUUUUUUUUUUUUGAGAUGGAAUCUUGCUCUGUUGCCCAGGCUGGAGUGCAGUGGCACAAUCUUGGCUCAUGGCAACCUCCACCUCCUGAGGUCAAGCAAUUAUCCUGCCUCAGCCUACCAAGUCAUUGAGAUUACAGGUCUUACUGGGAAUGAAGUGGAUCAUCAAUCAGACUAAUCAACAUUGGACUUGGCCUACAGCUUUGCUGGUUUAUAGCUUCCAAUGGGGAAAAGUCACUGCUGCAUCUUACUCAUUUUUUUUUCUGUAUUAAAAUAAAAGGCCCUGAUUGUGUCAGUAAAUUUUUUUGCUAAGAAUUGUUGAUAAAACAAAAAAAAAAUUCAUCCAUAAUAGUUCAAAUUAACCACUCAUAAAUAAUCAGUUUCAAGUAUGUCUCAGAAUCUUAUAACUUUUAUUACAAAAUCAUUACUUAUAGUUUUUUAUUAAAACACUCAAAUCUUUGUGGAUUUUACCUCUUGAAAUUUAUGGUACAUUUUCUCAUUACUUAUUUAAAUGUAACCUGUAAUUGAGAUCCUUUUUUGUGGGAGGAAAUUGAUUUCUAUCAAUGAUUUACAGCAUACAAAAACAAACUGUAGGAAUUUCUCUUUUUGGUAGAUUUCAACUAAGCUCUUUUUUCCUUAGCUUUUCUGAAUUUGCCUUCAUCUCCUUAUUAUUUACUAAGGAGAUGGGCCCAAGUGAUAGGUCAUGAAGAUAAAGUGAAAACAUGUUCACUUAGUUUAUAUUUUGACAGGAAGUAAAAACAUCCUAAAUAUUUGAUCAAUUUAAAAUGUAUUAUUGGCAGGAAUAGUUAUUUACUUACUUUACUGAUAAUGUAUUUGUUUAAUAAGUCUAAAUUUCCUUUCUCUGUAUGCCAUUUUAGUUCUGACAUGUUCAAUUCAGCUCAUGGUUUUAAAAUAACAUCUGGAUAGGAGUUCCUAAUGUAUCAUGUCUCAAUUUUACACUGAAAACGCAUAAGUGAACACAGAAAAUUAUGAAUACUUCCAUGCUCGCUAAAAAGUAAAACCAAUCAAUAACCAUGGCUAGGACCUAGGGGAAAUUUUCAAAACAACUGGAUUUAUAAAACUGCAAUACAAUGACCCAUUCAGAUGUGUUUGAGCACCUAAGACCAUGUCUCCCACUAUAAUCCUGACUCUUGCUGUUCAUCUCUUCCUCACCUCCAGUUGCUUGCCAGGUAUGAA
rnacentral:lncRNA from 10 species